rnacentral:rRNA from 1 species
AUUGAACGCUGGCGGCAGGCUUAACACAUGCAAGUCGAGCGAGCGGCGGACGGGUGAGUAAUGUCUGGGAAACUGCCUGAUGGAGGGGGAUAACUACUGGAAACGGAAGCUAAUACCGAUUACCAUCAGAUGUGCCCAGAUGUGAUUAGCUAGUAGGUGGGGUAAUGGCACACCUAGGCGACGAUCCCUAGCUGGUCUGAGAGGAUGACCAGCCACCCUGGAACUGAGACACGGUCCAGACGCCUACGGAAGGCAGCGGUGGGGAAUAUUGCACAAUGGGCGCAAGCCUGAUGCAGCCAUGCCGCGUGUGGGAAGAGGGCCUUCGGGUUGUAAAGCACUUUCAGCGAGGAGGCGUUACUCGCAGAGGAAGCACCGGCUAACUCCGUGCCAGCAGCCGCGGUAAUAC